GCUGGUGGAGCAGUGGUUAAGCGUUUGGCUGUUAACCAAAAGGUUGGCAAUUCAAAUCCACCAGCC
rnacentral:tRNA from 1 species